GGCAGGGCGGGCCGCGGGCCGCCAGGAUGCCGGACUACCUGGGCGCCGACCAGAGGAAGACCAAGGAGGAGGAGAAGGAGGAUAAGCCCAUCCGCGCUCUGGAUGAAGGAGAUAUUGCCUUGCUGAAAACAUAUGGCCAGAGCACAUACUCAAGGCAGAUCAAGCAAGUAGAAGAUGAUAUUCAACAACUACUUAAGAAAAUCAAUGAGCUCACUGGAAUCAAGGAAUCUGACACUGGCCUGGCUCCUCCUGCCCUUUGGGAUCUGGCGGCAGAUAAGCAAACUCUCCAAAGUGAGCAACCAUUACAAGUUGCAAGGUGUACAAAGAUAAUCAACGCAGACUCUGAGGAUCCCAAGUACAUUAUCAAUGUCAAGCAGUUUGCCAAAUUUGUGGUGGAUCUCAGUGACCAGGUGGCACCUACUGACAUAGAAGAAGGCAUGAGAGUUGGGGUGGACAGAAACAAGUAUCAAAUCCAUAUCCCCUUGCCUCCAAAGAUUGAUCCCACAGUCACCAUGAUGCAAGUAGAAGAAAAACCAGAUGUCACUUACAGUGAUGUUGGUGGUUGUAAAGAGCAGAUUGAGAAGCUGAGAGAGGUGGUUGAAACCCCUUUGCUUCACCCUGAAAGAUUUGUUAACCUUGGAAUUGAGCCUCCAAAAGGAGUACUUUUGUUUGGGCCACCUGGUACAGGCAAAACACUUUGUGCCCGGGCUGUUGCUAACAGGACUGAUGCCUGCUUCAUCAGAGUAAUUGGAUCUGAAUUGGUGCAGAAGUAUGUGGGAGAGGGAGCUCGAAUGGUUCGUGAACUCUUUGAAAUGGCCAGAACUAAAAAAGCUUGUCUUAUAUUCUUUGAUGAAAUUGAUGCCAUUGGAGGUGCUCGUUUUGAUGAUGGGGCUGGGGGUGACAACGAAGUGCAACGUACUAUGCUGGAGCUGAUCAACCAGUUGGAUGGUUUUGACCCACGAGGCAACAUCAAAGUGCUGAUGGCUACAAACAGACCCGAUACUCUGGAUCCAGCCCUGAUGAGGCCCGGCAGGUUGGACAGGAAGAUAGAGUUUAGCUUGCCUGAUCUUGAGGGGCGAACUCACAUAUUCAAGAUACAUGCUCGUUCCAUGAGUGUUGAAAGAGACAUAAGAUUUGAGCUGUUGGCUCGGCUGUGUCCUAAUAGCACAGGUGCUGAGAUUCGCAGUGUCUGCACGGAGGCAGGCAUGUUUGCUAUCCGAGCACGUCGAAAAAUCGCAACAGAGAAAGACUUCUUAGAAGCAGUGAACAAAGUCAUUAAAUCGUAUGCGAAAUUCAGUGCUACCCCCCGCUACAUGACCUACAACUAAUACCUUGGAAUGUUUUUCCUGUUCCUGUUGUUAAACUUCCUGUGAAACAAAAAUUCAAGAUAUUCUUUAACCUAAGGAAAAGAAUAUUGGAUGUGCACAGUUAAGUAUUGCCUGCACUAGAAGAAAAGCACCUGUGUGAUCACAA